UUCCUUACUCCCAGUAUAACUGACCUUGGAAAUAUAUCCACGGACACUAAAAGGAUACUAUGCUCAACUUCGGGGGGUUUUCCUAAGCCUCACCUCUCUUGGUUGGAAGAUGGAAAAGAGAUAAACACUGACUACCCGGCAGUUUCACAGGAUCCCCAGACAGAGUUGUUCACUGUCAGCAGUGAGCUGCACUUCAACAUGACGAGCAACCACAGCUUCCAGUGCCUCGUCAAGUAUGGAAACACAGAAGUGUCGGAGACAUUCACCUGGCAGAAACCGCAGCCGCCAAAUGCUGAGACUCCUGGUAAUAAGUUUCCAAUGUGGAUGAGUUCCCUGAUUGCCAUAUUUGCAAUUGUUUUCAUUGUGCUGGUAGUCCUGGCCUACAGCAGGUCUGCCCCAAGAUGGAGAGAAACAAGAAGGAACGAGGCAAGCUGGCAAAUGAGGACUAUCUAUAGUGAAAAUGAGCAGCGUCAGGCUGAAUAGAGUGUCUGAAGGUCCCACUUGCUUCUGUGGGACUCAUUGACUUCUUCUAGAAAUGUCUUCAGAUAGCCAGGACAAUCCUGCCUGGGCUCUAGGACAAAGCUCUUCGCCUCUGUGGCUCUGCAGGAGCAAACUAGUGGGAUGCUGUGUGGAUGCUACAGGAGCUCUGGUGACCUUGAGGACUGGACUUACACAGGAAGGCUUCUUCAUGUCCAAAGGGAGAAUAAGAAAGCCCAGGAAAAGGGCCUGUAUUGUGAAAGCCAGAGCCUCAACUCAGAUUUUCUGGUGCUCUUUCCCAUCUUCAAUGAACUAUACAAGACAAAUUUCCUUGAAAAAGAACAAAGAUGAUCCUUUUCAUCCCCUGCUAUCACACGGUUGGAGAGGGAGCAUGUAAAUAAAUAUUCAUGGUCUGUGGUUCAUAUUGGACUGAUAACCUCUUUAAACAGCUUGAGGCUAGUUUGGCCUCAUUUGUGAAAUAUUUAUGAGAAAGUUCUCAUUUAAGGUGAGAUAGUUUUUUACUGAGUAGUAAGCUAUCUUCAAAAAUAAUUAUUGCCUUUGAUGGGGCUUCCUUAGACCUCGUUCAUAUUUCUGGGUCCUCUGACAUCAGCAGAGAACUGAAAAGAAAUAGCCCACUGCUGUUCCUGUUUCAUUCCCCAUUCUUUCUCUGAAAAGGCCUUCUGAAACUAGUGGACUAGGAGCAGACCCAACUGUAACUGGGAGAAUGAUAUUCUUACCUGAAAAUGUGUCAUUGAACAGGAAGGGGUGACCAAGUUUCUCCAGUGUGGUUGUAUUUAAAAUGUUUUGUUUUGGGAACUCUAAGAGGGGCAGAUUCUAUUCUGCAGAAGAAAUAUAGGCAUACUUUGAAAUGGGUCUGCUCAAACCCAUUAAAUCACUGAAGAAAAUAAAGAACUUAAAGCAAAGGAAAAAAAAAAACACCAAAUAAUCCAAUAACUACAGUAUAGAACCAAGAGUCAUAAUCUUUAGAUGUGAUCAAAAGAACACCUGAAAAAGAAUUACAAAGUUAAGUCGGAGGAACAGUGUAAUGAUUAAAAUAAAUUAUUACUUAUUACAUUUGAUAAAU